GACGAACGCUGGCGGCGUGCUUAACACAUGCAAGUCGAGCGGAAAGGCCCUGCUUUUGUGGGGUGCUCGAGUGGCGAACGGGUGAGUAACACGUGAGUAACCUGCCCUUGACUUUGGGAUAACUUCAGGAAACUGGGGCUAAUACCGGAUAGGAGCUCCUGCUGCAUGGUGGGGGUUGGAAAGUUUCGGCGGUUGGGGAUGGACUCGCGGCUUAUCAGCUUGUUGGUGGGGUAGUGGCUUACCAAGGCUUUGACGGGUAGCCGGCCUGAGAGGGUGACCGGCCACAUUGGGACUGAGAUACGGCCCAGACUCCUACGGGAGGCAGCAGUGGGGUAUAUUGCACAAUGGGCGGAAGCCUGAUGCAGCAACGCCGCGUGCGGGAUGACGGCCUUCGGGUUGUAAACCGCUUUCGCCUGUGACGAAGCGUGAGUGACGGUAAUGGGUAAAGAAGCACCGGCUAACUACGUG
rnacentral:rRNA from 1 species